UCUUCAUAACCUCAGUGCAGCUCUUUCUGCCCAGGGGUCCUGUCUCUGCGCUUUAAUAAAACCACCUCUUUGCACCAAAGACCUCUUGAGAAUUCUUUCUUGGCCAUCAGCUCCAGACCCCCACCACUCCUGAACAACCACACCAUUUGGCAACCAAUGUGGGGCUUUGAGUCUUCAUCAGGACUCAGCUUUGGCGCAAACUUGCUGCUUCUGGCAGCGGAAUCUCCACUGAGAGCCAGCCAAAACUAUUACACAAUGGAAUUAAAACCCAACUAGGACCAUUUCCUAUCAAGUUGGCUGUAAGGACUACAUUCUAAGCAAUGUCGCUUAGAUCAUGGAGGUUGAGGCAUGUUGUCCACAUUGGAUUCAGCUGCCUCCGCCUUCGUAACUUCUCUACACCUUCCCCGACUGACCAAUAUUGACCCAUAGGUAGGGACAACUCUACACCCCUACUCAGCAGGAAGAAGCUACAGAAGAUGAGACCUUCCACCUUCAGCAACUGUAAAGACUUAAGGGUCAAAAUUAUGCAGGGGGGAUAUGAUGAGGGAGCAUAAGGCAGGCUGAGGGCAAAGCACCCCCACCCCAGGUGGGACAGGGGUGAUAUUCCUCAGGUAGUCCUGGCUGCCCCAGAACAAAGGAAAGGACAGAAAACAAAUGGUUGAACUGAUAGCGAUCACAGGACCCGAGUCUCCAUCAGUUUACAAAUAGCUUAGUAAAUGACAAGAAAAAGGCAAUCUUGUCAAUAGCUUAAUCUCCAGAAGCCUAUAGCCCCAACACCACCCUCCCCUCUGUAGUGAUGUGCGGAACAAAGGCAAGAAGGAAAUGGCAGGUAAAGUUGAAUUUGCUUAUAACCUGCUGCGCGCGGGACCUAUCCCUGGGCUUUAAUAAAACCACCUUUUUGCACCAAAGACGUCUCAACAAUUCUUUCUUGGCCGUCGGCUCCAGAUCCCCACCACUCCAAACACCACAUCACAGAGAGCACAGACGGCCUCGAAUAUGAAUCUGGGUUCUCUCUUAGUUACUCACAAGCUGUAUGACCCUGGGUGAGUGACUUCACUGCCCUGAGCCCAAAUCACAGCUUGGUCUGGAGAGCUGUGGAGAGGGUAAAUUGGGAUGUAGAUUAUACACAUACAGAAUGUCUUCCCUCUGCAGGAGUCCCAGGUCUGCUCCCUCCGUGACUCCUCCAUAGCCCCAGGCCACAGGAGAGGCCACCUGCCGGUUGAGACUGAAUUCUGGUAUUGUCCUGAGUAUCUGAAACCUUUUGUCUAUCCCUGUGCCUCCAGACUGCUCCUCACCUUGCCCUAAGCAGGUGGCGGGUUGGCUGAGUGGGAGUGGAGAAUCCCUAACCUGAAUAGGGCUGUAGGGGAGGCCAGUCUGUCCUGUCUUACUGUACCUUUCCACCAACCCGGCCCCAGCAAUCCUGCAACCUGAUUCUGUCCAAAGCUCUCUGCUGUCCCUGCAGAGGGCACCGAGGGUCUCUCUCACACAGACCUCACUGGCUCCAGGAGUAUCUCGUGGGCGAACAGCCCAGGCCAUGCUGUUUUACACCUUGCAAGUGGGGUCAUCGGCUCUCCAUCCUGCCCCCACAAACCCAUAUUCCAACCACAGAGAAGCUUCUGUUCUCUAAACUCCACCACGGUUCUGCAUCUUUGCCCCGGCUGUGUUUCCAUCCUGAAACACUCUCCCUGCCUUCUUAUCCAGGCACACAUCAAUCAUCGCCAGAACCACGGAAAUAUGGAUCGAGCGUCUCCUGUGUGCCCUCUGGGGUGGGGAAGGGUGAGAGCACAGAGAGCCUGAGGCUCUAGGUAGACAGACAACCAGCAAGUCCUUCUGACCCACAACCUGCACCCUCCUACACGAACACCUAUACACACACACCCCCCCCUCCAGGUCUUAACAUGCUCUUCUCUCUGCUACUGAUCGUCCCUUCAGCACCUGGUGACCACAUUAGACGCGACUUGCCGGGUUUAGCUCACAUGUCACUUUCUCCAGCAGCCCUUGUCCCAAGCUCCUCAUUCUCUCCUGUCACCUGGUGCCACUGGGGUUGGACUUCCCCACAGGGCACUCAGAAAGCGUGUUAGAAUUCUGGCUGGCUCU